rnacentral:rRNA from 1 species
AUUGAACGCUGGCGGAAUGCUUUACACAUGCAAGUCGAACGGCAGCACGGACUUCGGUCUGGUGGCGAGUGGCGAACGGGUGAGUAAUACAUCGGAACGUGCCCAGUCGUGGGGGAUAACGUAGCGAAAGCUACGCUAAUACCGCAUACGGUCUAAGGAUGAAAGCGGGGGAUCGCAAGACCUCGCGCGACUGGAGCGGCCGAUGGCAGAUUAGGUAGUUGGUAGGGUAAAGGCCUACCAAGCCGACGAUCUGUAGCUGGUCUGAGAGGAUGAUCAGCCACACUGGGACUGAGACACGGCCCAGACUCCUACGGGAGGCAGCAGUGGGGAAUUUUGGACAAUGGGCGCAAGCCUGAUCCAGCCAUUCCGCGUGCAGGAUGAAGGCCUUCGGGUUGUAAACUGCUUUUGUACGGAACGAAAAGGUUCUGGUUAAUACCCGGGGCUCAUGACGGUACCGUAAGAAUAAGCACCGGCUAACUACGUGCCAGCAGCCGCCGUAAAAC